rnacentral:misc_RNA from 1 species
GAGAAAGAGAGAUAGAGAGAGAGAGUGAGUUGGAGGGAGGGAGAGAGAUUAAUAAUACAAUAUGAUUUUGUUUUUAUCCCUUUGUACUAAGGUUAUUCUUGGCGCGGAGGCUGUCUGCAUCAUUUUGCUUCCAAAUCCCUCCCUGUGUGCAAGGAAUGCCCGACUACCAUCCACUGGCAGUCCGGACAGUGUUGUGUGAAAGUUCCGAACCCAAGCUCUAGGGAUGCUGCCACUUAGGCCUACGGAGGCAGCAUCCCUCCAUCGCUCCAUUCCUCCUCGUUUCCCGCGAAAACGGCGCAUAAAUUCAAGAGUUUGGAAGCACCGCAAUUGUGCGAAAAGCAGCGGCUCCUGCCAACACCGGGGAUUCUUCUGCCGAUUCAGCGAAAGCGAUUGACUUCCCACUGCAGAAACAAGGCCUCGCGAUCAACGCAGACAUGUCACCGACACAGCACCGGACUCCUCGCUCCCUGACGAUCAGAAACGUGGGUUCCCGCGCGCUGGACGCCCUCGCAGCACCGACGCCCCGCGGAGUGUGAGCGCUGGCGAGACACUGCCUUCGAAGGCGCUGCAGGGACGAUGCCCGACGCUGAAGGCAAUUUCCUUCUUGGCCUCGAAAGAACCGCAGGCGUCCGUCGGGGGCCAUGUGUCAGUGUCAGGCUGCACCCUUAUGUCGGCUCCAACUUUCUCUCAAAACAUUAAUGAAAAUAUCAGAACACAGGUUGGUGGCUCCAUAAUGGAGCUAACUUCUAUUGCCACUCAUCUCACUUAUUUACCAUUUUCCUUGAUUUCUGGGAUUCUUUUUUAUUAUCAUUCCCACUAGUACUGCUAAUGAUAUUAUGAUAAGCAUGUCAGUAAUGAUAAUAACAUCAAUAUCAAGCACAUUUGAUUUUUAAAAAUCACGAAAACUCAAGGAAGGGGAAAAUCAGGUGAGGUUACGUAAGCCCACUAAUUGGCUCCUUGGCGCCAUCUAUGAGCAACAAAAGAAAACUACAGUCGCAGUGCACUACCCGGCCGCAGCAAAGGGCCAAGGCAUCGCUGACACUUGCGAGGGUCAGGCGGCGCCGGACGAAGACUAAACGCUCGAAACCGGACGUCUUGCAGCUCAGACUCUUCUUAGAAAGCCCACGUUUCAGGACACCAUUCCGAGAACCUCCCUCUCUCUCUCUCUCUGCCUAUCAGUUUAACUAAUUACAUAUUUAGAAACUACGUGUAAAUCAAUUCAAACAUAAUCACGUUUUACAUAUAGAUGAAUAAAUGGAUGAAUAUAUAAAUGUG